GUGAACCUUACCUGGGGCGAUAGGAUCUCCUUGAUGGAGGUCUCUAGGUCACAUUCAAACACGUGUGCUUUGGUUAUUUUCUUCUCCCAGUGGGCUGCGAGCCAUAUCUUGGCUAAUGUGCUUCGUUUGGAGGCUCUGUCUCAAAACACAGAUAGCUACCGACCCAGACAGCCUCAAUAGGCACCGUCCAAAUGUCUGAAUGAUGCUCCAAAAUGCUGUCGAGAUGGACACCAGACGUGUUGUGCGUUUGGAACGCGCCCAUGACGCCAGGAAUGCUGUCUAGGCCAUGACGUUACCUGUUGUCGCUCCGCGUUGAUCAACACUGAAUCAGUUUUCCCGCCCACUUCACGUGCGCUUCUCUGAUGGCCGAAAAAAUAUAACGUUAGUCUUUUUUAACGCGUCAAAUUGUGUGACAUUAUAGAUGACUUCAUUAAUUUUUGCAUCUUACCUAUGUGUGUGAUUUGAAUAUUAAAUGUAAUUAAUGAAA